UACGUAGGUGGCAAUCGUUGUCCGGAUUCACUGGGCUUAAAGGGCGCGUAGGCGGGCGGUCAAGUCGGGGGUGAAAUCUUUCCGCUUAACGGGAAGCGUGCCUCCGAUACUGGCCGCCUCGAGGGAGGUAGGGGCAUGUGGAACUUCCGGUGGAGCGGUGAAAUGCGUAGAUAUCGGAAGGAACGCCGGUGGCGAAAGCGACGUGCUCGACCUCUUCUGACGCUGAGGCGCGAAAGCUAGGGGAGCAAACGGG
rnacentral:rRNA from 1 species